rnacentral:pre_miRNA from 1 species
UGCCCUUGGAAACCAAGCGUGGGUGUGGCCUGAAAAACAAAUAUGGCGACCCAUCCUUAGUUUCUUAGGUCC